UCAAGCCUUACCGCGUCCACGGUUUUGGCAUAUCUCACCUUUUUCAUCCACAACAAGAAAGAAAAUAAAUACUUUACUAUUCAAGAUGCUGAAGGGAAGCAGUUCAAUGCAAUAAGACCGGUAUGGGGAUUUUCGCAAGUGCUUCCGCUUGAUACAUUCAAUGAUCCGGAGAAGGGAUAUGUCUUCGAGGGAGAUCAAUGCGAGUUUGGUGUUGAUGUGUUGGUUCCACUUGCCAAUUGGGAAGUUGUCUCGUUUAAUCAGCAACCCUCGAAUCCCAAGUUCUCUUGGACGCACAACAAAUUCUCAAAGUUAAAAGAGACAACUUACCAAUCAAAGAAGUUUUCAAUCGGAAGAAGGAAUUGGGUGUUAACGUUUUAUCCCAAGGAUUUAACAGAUUGCAAAUCCUUAUCUCUCUAUCUGAAAGCUGAUAAUGACACAAUAAAGGAAGGUGACAUGAUUUACGUGCAAGCGGAUAUGCGAAUUCUCGACCCAUUUGGAUGUAAUCACGUGGAAAGGAAGAGUAAGUCGUAACGUUUUUUUUCAAGUAAUUUACAACUUGAUGAGAUUAGAUAUUAUCAUGUAAAAUAUUCAUUAGAGAUUAUAUUACUGUUUUACUGCAGUUAACAGUUGGUACCAGAAAACAAUAACUCCAGAAUGGGGAUGGAGUAAAUUUGUGUCUUUAGAUAAACUUCGGGAGGCCUAUUUGGACAAAGAAGGCUCUUUGAAUGUAGAAGUCGAAUUUAAAAGUCGUGUCUACCACCGAAUACUCUUCAUGAAGAUCUUCCUUUUCAUUUUUUUUUAAUAUUAUUUUUUACUCAGAUUUUUUUUUUUUUAAUGAAUUGUGAUAAAAAUUGGAUUGAUUUGAUGAGUUUUAUCUUUGUUUUUUUUGCACUUGUUUUUUGAAAAGAACCACACCAUAACCAAACCUUCAGGUUAUAUUAUUUAUCAAACAGAGCCGUUCAGAGCAAUUUACAACUCAAGAAACCUCGGUAGA